CACGUAGGGGCCAAGCGUUGUCCGGAUUCAUUGGGCGUAAAGAGCUCGUAGGCGGUUCAGUUAGUCGGGUGUGAAAUCUCCGGGCUCAACCCGGAGGGGCCACCCGAUACUGCUGUGACUCGAGUCCGGUAGGGGAGUGGGGAAUUCCUGGUGUAGCGGUGGAAAUGCGCAGAUAUCAGGAGGAACACCGGUGGCGAAGGCAGCCCCCUGGGCCAAUACUGACGCUCAUGCACGAAAGCGUGGGGAGCAAACAGG
rnacentral:rRNA from 1 species